GCUUAUGUAGCUUAAUUGGUAGAGCAUUCGCUUGAAGCGCGACUUAUUUGAGUUCAAUUCUCAACUUAGGCA